rnacentral:rRNA from 1 species
ACGGCAGGUCAGUAUGCCCCGAAACUCUGGGGCCACACGCGGGCUGCAAUGGUAGCGACAAUUGGUUUCGAAUCCGAAAGGAUGAGGUAAUCCACAAACGCUACCACAGUUAUGACUGAGGGCUGCAACUCGCCCUCACGAAUAUGGAAUCCCUAGUAACUGCGUGUCAUUAUCGCGCGGUGAAUACGUCCCUGCUCCUU